GACAGAGGAGCCAAGCGUUGUCCGGAUUGACUGGGCGUAAAGAGCUCGUAGGCGGUCUGUCGCGUCUGCUGUGAAAACUCAGGGCUUAACCCUGAGCUUGCAGUGGGUACGGGCAGACUAGAGUGCGGUAGGGGAGACUGGAAUUCCUGGUGUAGCGGUGAAAUGCGCAGAUAUCAGGAGGAACACCGAUGGCGAAGGCAGGUCUCUGGGCCGAUACUGACGCUGAGGAGCGAAAGCGUGGGGAGCGAACAGG
rnacentral:rRNA from 1 species